rnacentral:rRNA from 1 species
CACUCCUGCGGGAGGCAGCAGUGGGGAAUAUUGCACAAUGGGCGCAAGCCUGAUGCAGCCAUGCCGCGUGUAUGAAGAAGGCCUUCGGGUUGUAAAGUACUUUCAGCGGGGAGGAAGGCAAUACGGUUAAUAACCGUGUUGAUUGACGUUACCCGCAGAAGAAGCACCGGCUAACUCCGUGCCAGCAGCCGCGGUAAUACGGAGGGUGCAAGCGUUAAUCGGAAUUACUGGGCGUAAAGCGCACGCAGGCGGUCUGUCAAGUCGGAUGUGAAAUCCCCGGGCUCAACCUGGGAACUGCAUUCGAAACUGGCAGGCUUGAGUCUUGUAGAGGGGGGUAGAAUUCCAGGUGUAGCGGUGAAAUGCGUAGAGAUCUGGAGGAAUACCGGUGGCGAAGGCGGCCCCCUGGACAAAGACUGACGCUCAGGUGCGAAAGCGUGGGGAGCAAACAGGAUUAGAAACCUAGUAGUCCC